UUUGUUGGAGAGUUUGAUCCUGGCUCAGGAUGAACGCUGGCGGCGUGCUUAACACAUGCAAGUCGAACGGAAAGGCCUCAGCUUGCUGGGGUGCUCGAGUGGCGAACGGGUGAGUAACACGUAGGUGAUCUGCCUUUCACUUCGGGAUAAGCUUGGGAAACUGGGUCUAAUACCGGAUAUUCACGGCACCGUGGUUGGUGUGGUGGAAAGCUUUUGCGGUGGGAGAUGAGCUUGCGGCCUAUCAGCUUGUUGGUGGGGUAAUGGCCUACCAAGGCGGCGACGGGUAGCCGGCCUGAGAGGGUGUGCGGCCACAUUGGGACUGAGAUACGGCCCAGACUCCUACGGGAGGCAGCAGUGGGGAAUUUUGCACAAUGGGCGGAAGCCUGAUGCAGCGACGCCGUGUGGGGGAUGAAGGCCUUCGGGUUGUAAACUCCUUUCGUCAGGGACGAAGUUUGUUUGACGGUACCUGGAUAAGAAGCACCGGCUAACUACGUGCCAGCAGCCGCGGUAAUACGUAGGGUGCGAGCGUUGUCCGGAUUUACUGGGCGUAAAGGGCUCGUAGGUGGUGUGUUGCGUCGUCUGUGUAAUCCAGGGGCUUAACUUUUGGUUGGCAGGCGAUACGGGCAUUGCUUGAGUGCUGUAGGGGAGACUGGAAUUCCUGGUGUAGCGGUGAAAUGCGCAGAUAUCAGGAGGAACACCGAUGGCGAAGGCAGGUCUCUGGGCAGUUACUGACGCUGAGGAGCGAGAGCAUGGGUAGCGAACAGGAUUAGAUACCCUGGUAGUCUAUGCUGUAAACGGUGGGCGCUAGGUGUGAGCCUCUUCCACGGGGUUUGUGCCGUAGCUAACGCUUUAAGCGCCCCGCCUGGGGAGUACGGCCGCAAGGCUAAAACUCAAAGGAAUUGACGGGGGCCCGCACAAGCGGCGGAGCAUGUGGAUUAAUUCGAUGCAACGCGAAGAACCUUACCUGGGCUUGACAUAGGCAGGAUGGGCGCAGAGAUGUGUCGUCCCUUUGUGGUCUGUUUACAGGUGGUGCAUGGUUGUCGUCAGCUCGUGUCGUGAGAUGUUGGGUUAAGUCCCGCAACGAGCGCAACCCUUGUCUUAUGUUGCCAGCACGUUGUGGUGGGGACUCGUGAGAGACUGCCGGGGUUAACUCGGAGGAAGGUGGGGAUGACGUCAAAUCAUCAUGCCCCUUAUGUCCAGGGCUUCACACAUGCUACAAUGGUUGGUACAGUGCGUGAGCAACACCGUGAGGUGGAGCUAAUCGCUAAAGCCAGUCUCAGUUCGGAUUGGGGUCUGCAACUCGACCUCAUGAAGUCGGAGUCGCUAGUAAUCGCAGAUCAGCAGUGCUGCGGUGAAUACGUUCCCGGGCCUUGUACACACCGCCCGUCACGUCAUGAAAGUUGGUAACACCCGAAGCCCAUGGCCUAACCGGUUUUGCCGGGGGGAGUGGUCGAAGGUGGGAUUGGCGAUUGGGACGAAGUCGUAACAAGGUAGCCGUACCGGAAGGUGCGGCUGGAUCACCUCCUUUCUAAGGAG
rnacentral:rRNA from 1 species